AUUGAACGCUGGCGGCAGGCUUAACACAUGCAAGUCGAACGAGUGGCGGACGGGUGAGUAAUGCUUGGGAAUCUGGCUUAUGGAGGGGGAUAACGACGGGAAACUGUCGCUAAUACCGCGUACCAUAGGAUGAGCCCAAGUGGGAUUAGGUAGUUGGGGGGGUAAUGGCCUACAAAGCCGACGAUCACUAACUGGUCUGAGAGGAUGAUCAGCAACACCGGGACUGAGACACGGCCAGGACUCCGACGUGAGGCAGAAGUGGGGAAUAUUGCGCAAGGGGAGAAACCUGACGCAGCCAUGCGGCGUGGAUGAAGAAGGCCUUCGGGUUGUAAAGUGCUUUCGGUGACGAGGCGUUAAUCACAGAAGAAGCACCGGCUAACUCCGUGCCAGCAGCCGCGGUAAUAC
rnacentral:rRNA from 1 species